rnacentral:rRNA from 1 species
CACGUAGGGGGCGAGCGUUGUCCGGAUUUAUUGGGCGUAAAGAGCUCGUAGGCGGCUCAGUAAGUCAGGUGUGAAAACUCCAGGCUCAACCUGGAGACGCCACCUGAUACUGCCGGGCUAGAGUCCGGAAGAGGCGAGUGGAAUUCCUGGUGUAGCGGUGGAAUGCGCAGAUAUCAGGAGGAACACCAAUAGCGAAGGCAGCUCGCUGGGACGGUACUGACGCUAAGGCGCGAAAGCGUGGGGAGCGAACAGG